rnacentral:tmRNA from 1 species
GGGCCCGAACAGGUUUCGACCGGGAUGUCGAGACGGUUUGCAGCGCGCCGUGGACGCUCGUUGGCCACGUAAAACAUCGAGCACAAAACACAAAUGCCAAGCCGGCAUACGCUCUGGCGGCAUAACUGCAGCCACGUCACCUGAGCUCUGCCCACUGCCGCGAAAGCGGGGGUUCAGGACCGACGUUAAUGUGUGGGAUAUGCGGACACGUCAGACCAGCUGGGCGUGAAAGCGAGAAGGCACGUGCUGGGAGGGUCGCCGGGAUCCCGUCGAUGGGAGCCUGGAGGCCGAGAUAAAUCGUCGACUACGCGCGUAGGAUAGCGGUCGUUCAGUCAUUCCGGGACGGCGGUUCGAUUCCGCCCGGGUCCACUU